rnacentral:misc_RNA from 1 species
UCUCCGUAGGUGAACCUGCGGAGGGAUCAUUACAGAGUUCAUGCCCUUCCGGGUAGAUCUCCCACCCUAUGUUAUUAUUACUUUGUUGCUUUGGCGGGCCGUUAGGCUCCGGCCCGACUACCGGCCCCGGCUGGUAAGCGCCCGCCAGAGGACCCAAAACCCUGAAUAUUAGUGUCGUCUGAGUACUAUAUAAUAGUUAAAACUUUCAACAACGGAUCUCUUGGUUCUG